UACAGAGGGGGCAAGCGUUGUUCGGAAUUACUGGGCGUAAAGCGUGCGCAGGCGGCGCCGCAAGUCAGGCGUGAAAUCCCCGAGCUUAACUUGGGAAUGGCGCUUGAAACUACGGUGCUGGAGUGUGGGAGAGGUGAGUGGAAUUCCUGGUGUAGCGGUGAAAUGCGUAGAUAUCAGGAGGAACACCUGUGGCGAAAGCGGCUCACUGGACCACAACUGACGCUGAGGCGCGAAAGCUAGGGGAGCAAACAGG
rnacentral:rRNA from 1 species